rnacentral:rRNA from 1 species
UUAUUGGAGAGUUUGAUCCUGGCUCAGGAUGAACGCUGGCGGCGUGCCUAAUACAUGCAAGUCGAGCGAAUGGAUUAAGAGCUUGCUCUUAUGAAGUUAGCGGCGGACGGGUGAGUAACACGUGGGUAACCUGCCCAUAAGACUGGGAUAACUCCGGGAAACCGGGGCUAAUACCGGAUAAUAUUUUGAAC